AGGACUAUACUUUCAGGGAUCAUUUCUAUAGUCUGUCACUGGAGAAGUUUCUUUGGACGUGUGGGGCACUGACAGCCCCGAGGAGACGUGGUGUCUUCUCCUGAGCGUGAGGCUGCUCUUGCUGUUGUUUUAUUGUAACUGCCAUUUGCAAUCAAUGACCGCGCUUGCUCUUCCUUAGGAGAGUGAGGUGGAGGGGACACGGGCUGAGUGGC